rnacentral:rRNA from 1 species
GACGAACGCUGGCGGCGUGCUUAACACAUGCAAGUCGAACGGAAAGGCCCUGCUUGCAGGGUACUCGAGUGGCGAACGGGUGAGUAACACGUGGGUGAUCUGCCCUGCACUUCGGGAUAAGCCUGGUAAACUGGGUCUAAUACCGGAUAGGAGCCAUUUUUAGUGUGAUGGUUGGAAAGUUUUUUCGGUGUAGGAUGAGCUCGCGGCCUAUCAGCUUGUUGGUGGGGUAAUGGCCUACCAAGGCGGCGACGGGUAGCCGGCCUGGGAGGGUGGACGGCCACAUUGGGACUGAGAUACGGCCCAGACUCCUACGGGAGGCAGCAGUGGGGAAUAUUGCACAGUGGGCGCAAGCCUGAUGCAGCGACGCCGCGUGGGGGAUGACGGCCUUCGGGUUGUAAACUCCUUUCGCUAGGGACGAAGCUUUUUGUGACGGUACCUAGAUAAGAAGCACCGGCUAACUACGUG